rnacentral:rRNA from 1 species
GCAGUAGCCGCGGGAAUACAGAGGGUGCGAGCGUUAAUCGGAUUUACUGGGCGUAAAGCGUGCGUAGGCGGCUUCUUAAGUCGGAUGUGAAAUCCCUGAGCUUAACUUAGGAAUUGCAUUCGAUACUGGGAAGCUAGAGUAUGGGAUAGGAUGGUAGAAUUCCAGGUGUAGCGGUGAAAUGCGUAGAGAUCUGGAGGAAUACCGAUGGCGAAGGCAGCCAUCUGGCCUAAUACUGACGCUGAGGUACGAAAGCAUGGGGAGCAAACAGGAUUAGAUACCCCGGUAGUCCCUGUCUCUUAUAC